GCGAUGUACGGACGGUACGGUAAAUAGGACACACCAGGCCCUCUGGUGCUGCUGUCAUGCUGUUGUUCUGGCGAGGAAGGGCGACAGGGCCGCGGCACUCACGUUUGCCCGUCAGCCCGUGGGUCUAUCUGUCAAGUGGAUUUAUUUUUUUUAGCGAAUCUGUGCAGUGGAUGGGAGCCAUGGAACGCAACUGCGGAUUGAAGAAGAGAGACCAGAUUGGCUAGAAAUAGCUGGGCCGGCACAGGGUCGGGCCUAAAACAAUUAAUCAGAUGGAACUUAUUGGUUAAGUUUAGCUCAUUUGGGCUUCUUGAUUAGGUUUUUUUUUUAGGGGAGGCUUCUUGAUUAGGUAUGGAUUCAAUAGCCGCAUGCAGAGCA
rnacentral:lncRNA from 1 species